GCCCCCCAGCCCCAGUCAGAGCCAGGGCCUGAGGGAGGCACAGCUGCGCUACACCUCCUCUUCCCCCCAGCACGCAGAACAGGUGGCCAAAGCUGGUGGCUUUAACAACACAGUGAUGUCUGGGGACUCUGUGGGUUGGACUCAGGGCUGCUUCAAGGGUGUGCGGCCCCAAUAUAUCAUUUUUUUGCGGGGCCUUUUCUUGUCUAUAUAAGGAAUUAGAGUCAGCCAAAAUCAGCUUGCGGGGGCAGCCGCGACGGGGAGCACAACUUCUUUCCAAAAUCAACGUGCCAGCAACUUCUGUCGGCAAAUCUCGCCCAACCCCGCAAAGGAAUACCGCCCAUCCCUGCAGCGAUCUGCUAGCCGGGCCGCUUCUGCAAAGGGGCCCGCGCCUGGGUGUCCCCAAAUGACCUCAUAGAUGGGAGUUCUAGACUCCUGGGGUUGGACCUAGCAGGGAGCUGGAGGGCACCCAAAGGGGAGAGACGCUGGGCUAGGGUCCAGCGUUCGCCGCGGGGAACCAGGCGCCCGAGGAGGGCGCAGCAGUGUUAGAAUAUUUCAAGGAAGGGGCUGUAAGGGACCCUGUUUGCCCAGAUCUGAACGUGGCACUGGGCCCUCUACUGCGUCCCAGGCCGUUUCACAGGCACUAGAGACAAAGAACAAGAGAGAACACUUCCAGUUCUCCUAGAGCCAACACGCCAAAGAAGUCAGCGUGGUGUAAGACAGAACAGAAGUCAAGGGAACGACCGCAAGUGUAGAAACGAGAGCGAGUGUAGACAGCUCGUGCUGGUUUUGCUAGGAAGGGCAGCAGAAGAACUGGGCAGUAGCUGGAGAGGGAAAGGAUGUCUCUUUGGAAGAGAGCAGGUAUGGCUUCUCUGCCUUCCAUUCCUGAAUCACUGUCUGGACCACUUUCUCAUCUCCCUGCAAGAAGACGAUUCCAGUCACUCCUCACCCAAGCCACCUCCACCUGAGGCCAGAUGGGGAGACUGAGGCUCAGGCUGGCUAAAUUGUUCAAGCUCACAUUCCGUCUCACUCCUGCACCUACACCUUCAAGAGCUACGCAAGAAUGCCUCUUAAGAAUAAUAAAAAUGAUAACAACAUUAAUGGCUUACACCCAAAGAUUCCUCAACCUCAACAUCACUGACAUGUGGGCUGGAUAAUUACUAACAUUUGCUGUGGGGAGCUGUCCUGUGCCUUGCAGGAUGUGAGCAGCAUCCUGGCUUCUACCGGCCAGAUGCCAAUAGCAGACACCCCACCCCAAAACAGGGUGACAACCAAAUAUGUCUCCGGACAUUGCCAAAUGGCCCCUGAGGAGCAAAAUUACCCUCCUUCAUUGAGAACCGCUGGUUUGCACUUUAUAGUACUUUACUAUGUACCAGGCACUAAGCACGUUACAUAUUUCAAGUACCUACGUUGUAUGUUUACCAUCCCCAUUUAACAUAUGGAGAAACUGAGAGCAAUUAGGUUACUCUUAGUUCCCCAAGGUCAAACAAUGAUUGUGCAGAGCCAGGAUUUCAACGCAGAAGAUCUGGCUCUAUAAUCGAUGGCCUUUACCCCCUCAUACGUAGAAGAGCUGAAAUUACACUAAAGUAUGAAAUACAGUCCACUCGGUGCUGAGCUCAGGAGAAGUUUUAAAAGUGAGAUGAGGAAAGCCAUGGCCACCUAGACUCACGCUGGUGAAACGCCUUUGUCACACUAUGUCUGGCCAGAAGACUGCGUGGACACGGUUGACCCCUGACCCUCUGUGCUCUCUGGAGCCA